GUAGGUGGCAAGCGUUGUCCGGAAUUAUUGGGCGUAAAGCGCGCGCAGGCGGUUCUUUAAGUCUGAUGUGAAAGCCCACGGCUCCAACCGUGGAGGGUCAUUGGAAACUGGAGAACUUGAGUACAGAAGAGGAAAGCGGAAUUCCACGUGUAGCGGUGAAAUGCGUAGAGAUGUGGAGGAACACCAGUGGCGAAGGCGGCUUUCUGGUCUGUAACUGACGCUGAGGCGCGAAAGCGUGGGGAGCAAACAGGGAUUAGAUACCCUGGUAGUCCACGCCGUAAACGAUGAGUGCUAAGUGUUAGGGGGGUUUCCGCCCCCUUAGUGCUGCAGCUAACGCAUUAAGCACUCCGCCUGGGGAUACGGCCGCAAGGCUG
rnacentral:rRNA from 1 species